CGUAGGGUCCAAGCGUUAUCCGGAAUCACUGGGCGUAAAGCGUGCGUAGGCGGGAGUUUAAGUGAGAUGUUAAAUCGUGUGGCUCAGCCAUAUCGAUGCAUCUCAUACUGGACACCUAGAGGAAGGCAGAGGCAAGUGGAAUUUGUAGUGUAGCAGUGAAAUGCGUAGAUAUUACAAGGAACACCAAUGGCGAAGGCAGCUUGCUGGGUCUUUCUGACGCUGAGGUACGAAAGCGUGGGGAGCGAACAGGAUUAGAUACCCUGGUAGUCCACGCCGUAAACGAAUGCAUACUAGUCUUAUGGGGUAUCGACCCCCUGUGAGACGAAGCUAACGCGAUAACGUAUGCCGCCUGGGAAGUACGGCCGCAAGGCUA
rnacentral:rRNA from 1 species